AGCUUUGUGCAGAGGCGAUAAAGUGACCACUGAGGCUCUGCCGAGGUGAAUUUAUUGCUGCUUAAAAUCUCUCCCCAAAGAAAGAAGCCCUCGUAGGUGUGCUUAAUAAAUAACAUAGGAAAAACUUCU
rnacentral:snRNA from 1 species